GGUCUACUCCCUCCGUUUGGAAUUACUCGUAUAAAAAAUGAAUGCAUCUAGAUGUAUUUUAAUUGUAGAUACAUUCAUUUUAUCCAUUUUUGUGACAAGUAAUUUGAAACGGAGGGAGUAUAAG
rfam:Triticum aestivum genome assembly, contig: Triticum_aestivum_CS42_TGACv1_scaffold_227495_3B